AUAUGCCCCUGAUGGUAGUGAAAAGCCUUUUUUGAGAAACUGCAUUUUUUCUUGAACUUAAAAAGCGACCAAAGGAAGCUCUUUUAAGGACUUUGAAAAAAGCAUUUUCGAGAAAAAGCUUGAAACGACAGCAGGAUUAGGG
rfam:Flavobacterium frigoris strain DSM 15719 genome assembly, contig: Ga0131223_102